AAGUCGUAACAAGGUUUCCGUAGGUGAACCUGCGGAAGGAUCAUCAUCAAAUUGGGCUUUGUCCCAUAUCCAACUCGUCCUGUGUGAACUUGUUAACCAAUCUGGGGUGAGGCUUUGGUUAAGCCCCAGCAAUUAAACUACAAUCUUACUAUUGUGCUGAUUUAAUAACCUAGAAAAUACAACUUUCAACAAUGGAUCUCUAGGCUCUC
rnacentral:misc_RNA from 1 species